UACGGAGGGGGCUAGCGUUGUUCGGAAUUACUGGGCGUAAAGCGUACGUAGGCGGCUUUGUAAGUUAGAGGUGAAAGCCCGGGGCUCAACCCCGGAAUUGCCUUUAAGACUGCAUCGCUUGAAUCGCGGAGAGGUGAGUGGAAUUCCGAGUGUAGAGGUGAAAUUCGUAGAUAUUCGGAAGAACACCAGUGGCGAAGGCGACUUACUGGACACAUAUUGACGCUGAGGUGCGAAAGCGUGGGGAGCAAACAGG
rnacentral:rRNA from 1 species